AAUCCAGCUCUGGGGCGACACCUUUCCUGUCGACCCGUCUUUCUCCUGCGGUCUCCCGUCCCCUGUCAUCGCUGCACCUUCUGAAUGACACACGAGGUCGCGGUAAAUGACUUUGCGGGGACCGAUCAGCACCCCCGUGUGGACAGACGGCGGUACUGCGCGUCACGGCCCGGCGGGCGGCUCACAGACACGCAGUGUCUCCCUCUGGCGGCAGCGCUGGUGAGCUGCACCCUUAGACCCGCAGGACGCGCUGCUCGGCGAUAGAUUAUUUUCCCAGUUGCCGCUCGAUUGCUCGACACUCGGCGCUGGACGGCCAGGCCGCUGUUCGAUCAGCUCGACAUUCAACUCGUCGAUCGCCGUGGAAACCAGCUCGGGGAUCCAACAUGGCGUCUCUGGCUCCGCCGUUGCGGGUCUGCCGCGGGAUACUGAAGGAGAUUCGGGCAGCCAAGGGGCCGAAUUACCAACAGAGUAUAGUUUAUAGAUACCUACUGGAACAAUUCCGCAAGAACCAGGUGAGAAGGGCGACUUAGUUUCAGCAGAAAAUGUCAAAGCCGAGAUCCAGAAACCUGGUCCCCUAUCCAAGGACACGGUGAUACCCAAUCACCUUCCUGCAGGGCAGUGAGUGGGCGUGAGUGACGGUUGAGAGAGCCAAUCACAGGGUGC
rnacentral:lncRNA from 1 species